UUUACUACAUUUCUUUCGCUUAAUAAAAUUUUCGCUGUUUUUCACAUUAUUGCUUUAUAAAUGCUAAAAGGGUAUAAAAAUGGAUAAAGGUAAUCUGUUCAAUAAUUCGCUUGCCUAGCUCACAUUAGUAGGCGUCAUCACGACUCCCGAGGGUGGGAGUCCGGGUUGUGACAAAGAAUAAUAUUUUAGGCUCAUAACAACCCAUUUUAAGCCUAAUUUUCGGACCUAGCCCAUACCCCUUAACCUAAAAAACCCUACAAAAUACCUAGACUCUAAGACCUAUAGGGAUAACCAAUAGUACCGUUUUCAGAAAACCAAGACCCUACCCCAAACGACCUCAGAACAUUCUGCUUCUUCUUGAACAAAAUGAAGAAGGCCAAAAAACUUUUCAGCUGCUGGAACGCAAAGGAGAUCACACAGAGACCCCAUCAGCUUUCUUCUUCUUCUUCAUGGGAAAACCUAGAAAAAGCUCUAGGACCUAAGGGCUGGAAAUCAGUCGCAACACAAAAAUAACCCCCACCCAUUCUCUUCUUCUUCAACAACAACCAACCCUCAACCGCCGACACACACACACAAUCGCCGCUGGACAGAGAAUCGACGAACACCAUAGCUAUCGCUGUUUCUACUUCUUCCCAUUAGCAACGAACCAAAACCCUAACACCUCAAACAAUGAGCCGUUUCCAUCCAUAUUUGACAACAAACAAAACCUAGAUCCUUAAGACAUCAGCAAGAAAAUACAUAAAACUGGACAGCAUAUCCAACUCUAGACGGAACCUCGCACUGACUCGGCAGAAACAGAGGAUUUGGAACAACUUUAAAGCUGUUAGAACCGUUUAAUUAUGAGAUUGUUGUUUGUUUUGUCGGCUGAGCUUCGUAUGUAGUUUCCAUGUCCUUCAAGUGGUCCGAUUUGGCAGUCAACUUCAUUUUGGAUGAAUUUUGAUUAAAAUGUGGGUUUUGAAUCUGGGUAUGGUUGAGUUUCUAGUGACGAUUCGAGAUUUCGUCCUGUUUUCAGCUUUCUAGUGCUAAUUCGGGUUCAGUCCAUGGUCUGUUAUAUUGUUGAGUUUAAAACAGUCAAAUAACCAAUUUUUCUGCUAUAUUGAGGUCCAUUUCUUUUCAUCUCUUUAUUUAAUCGAUGGAUAUACCUCUUUGUUUCAACAAGUUUGAAUAUGUUUAUGAUUUGUUUAAUGUGGGUUAGUUUCAUUGUUAUAUUGUUUCAUUUGUUCUUUAUUUAUUUUUUCUUACAAGAUAUGUUCAAUAAAAUGAAGACAUGAAUAAACUUGAAUGAAAGUGGCAAACAGUGACUUGUUUGAAUCGUGGAUGGUUGAUCAAAAAUGGGUUUGGGUCAAAUUCAUUAAAUUGAUGUUGGAUAUGCGGGUUCGGGAUUGAGAUGUACUUUGACUAAAUCGUUCAUUCCUAUUUCCAAGUCUGUCUUUUUAGUUCCUAACUUAUAACAAAAAUUCUUUAUUUAGCUAAUAUAUGUCAACAACCAACUUUGUGAAGGAAUAUUUUGAACCUCUUAAUUAAUAGUGAAAGAACUGUUGUUUCGAAGAAGUUUGCUGAAUUCGAAUAAAAGCUGCGCAAGCAAAAUUCAUAUGAAUGUCUAAAUUGCAACAAGUUUGCUUUGUUGGAAAAUAGAACUCUAGGACUAAACUUUCUGUUAUGAAUUGUGUACACGUUCGCGUGACAUAAUUUUUGACGCGCCAAACAAAUGGAUACACGUACGCGUGACCUAUUUUCAAGAUAAUUUCUUAAUUAAAAGGCAAAUGCACAUAGGUUCUAAAAUUGGGUAACGAAACAAUUUGAUUAAGCCAAGUAUGAUCAAAGCGACCGUGCUAAAACCAUAGAACUCGGGAAUGCCUAACACGUUCUCCCGAGUUAGCAGAAUUCCUUACCCGAAUUUCUAUGUUCGCAGACCAUAAAUAGAGUCAAAUUUCCUCGAUUCGGGAUUUUAAACCGGUGACUUGGGACACCAUAAAUAAUCCGAAGUGGCGAUUCUGAUUCUAAUUUAAAUAAUCUCAUUUCGAUUGUCACUUAAAUUGGUAAAAACUGUCUUAUACCCCUUUUCGGGGUGGUAAAAAGGAGGCGUGACAGCUCUGGCGACUCUGUUGGGGACAAGAACCCAGAACUUCUGGUUCAGGGUUCAAAAUUCGAGCUUGUUAAUAUGUUUUUUUGCUUGGCUUCAUUUAUUGUUGAUAUUACACUAUUUUGUGGAUCUACUGUGCUAAUUGUUGUCUAUUUACCGCUUUGAUAUUAUUUAAAUUGUACAUAAAUGUCUUCUUACGCCACCCCUCUGAGUCUUCUGAAAGUGGAGCACACGUUCGCGUGGCCCGCUUUUUAUGUAGAAGUCAUACCAAAUAGAACGAGGUUGGGCAAGCAACAAGGCCGUGUAGACUUUAGUGCUCCCGGUACGUUGCCCCCUCUUCGGCUCGAGUUGUCCGCUCGGGUAAGCUAGGUCAAGAACACAACCCUAAGUUUAAACUUAGAAUAACAUAACCUCAUGCCGGAUCCCUAGUAGGCACGUUUGUUUGUAUCAUGUGCAUUUGACUUUGGGGACUCAACACGGGGGUUGAGUCCGUCUAGGACAGGUGUACCCAAAAAUAAAAGACCAUCCUGAUGCAUCCUAUGUGCUACAUGUUACAAUCUUCAAGGGUAAAAGGAUCAUUUGGCGGACCAAUGAUAAUUGAGGGCAAAUGAAAAAAAAAGAGAAUGAAGUGUGAAAAUAAAGUUAAAAGAAAAAGAAAAAAACAUAAAAAAUUCAAAAAAAAAGAUUUUGCACCUUUUCAUCAUUUACAGAAAACAAAAAUCAAAAAAGGGGAAAAGAAAAUCCAAAAAGAGUUUACACAUUUCAUCUUUUUUUUUUAAAAAAGGACAAAAAACAUAUUUUCUCUAAAUUAGUUGUUUUUUUUAAUUCUCGUCCGUAUCCAAUCUGCCCGAACUAUGCAUACCUGAUUCUCAUCUUUCGAGGCGUGAUACGUAGACAACCCACAUAAGGUCCGAUCUUCCUAGUGAGUUUAGGUUCUUGGCUUCACGAGGUCUUAGCCAAAUCUUGCAUUUUUAGCUCCUUUUAGCCACAUAGGUUAAUUUUAAAAAAAUAGUCACAACCAUGUCUUGCAUGUAUCUAGUAGGGAAUGUUAUUGUCUCACAUAGUGUUGGUUUCAAUUUUCUCAUACAGGUGUGGAUCUACUUACCAGAGUUUAAGCAUGACAGAUACCCCACGACCACUGCAUUCAAGAGCUGCCCGAGGAGCUUUUUUAUGUUUUUGAGUCUACUGUUCAUGUUUACUUUCUAGUCUUGUACAGUAGUAUUCAGUCAUUUAGUUGAUGCUAGAGUCUGUC
rnacentral:lncRNA from 1 species